ACGAUGGGGGUUCAGUGGUAGAAUUUCCACCUUCCAUGUAGGAGACCUGGGUUUGAUUCCCAGCCAGUGCA
rnacentral:tRNA from 1 species